rnacentral:rRNA from 1 species
UACGAAGGGGGCUAGCGUUGUUCGGAUUUACUGGGCGUAAAGCGCACGUAGGCGGAUCGUUAAGUCGGGGGUGAAAUCCUGGAGCUCAACUCCAGAACUGCCUUCGAUACUGGCGAUCUUGAGUCCGGAAGAGGUGAGUGGAACUCCUAGUGUAGAGGUGGAAUUCGUAGAUAUUAGGAAGAACACCAGUGGCGAAGGCGGCUCACUGGUCCGGUACUGACGCUGAGGUGCGGAAAGCGUGGGGAGCAACAGGGAUUAAGAAACCCCUGUAACGU